rnacentral:rRNA from 1 species
CAGUCGCCGCGGUAAUACGAAGGGGGCUAGCGUUGCUCGGAAUUACUGGGCGUAAAGGGAGCGUAGGCGGAUCGUUAAGUUGGGGGUGAAAGCCCGGGGCUCAACCUCGGAACUGCCUUCAGUACUGGCGAUCUUGAGUAUGAGAGAGGUGUGUGGAACUCCGAGUGUAGAGGUGAAAUUCGUAGAUAUUCGGGAGAACACCAGUGGCGAAGGCGACACACUGGCUCAUUACUGACGCUGAGGCUCGAAAGCGUGGGGAGCAAACAGGAUUAGAUACCCCGGUAGUCCCUGUCUCUUAUAC